rnacentral:rRNA from 1 species
GUCUACGGCCAUGCCACCCUGAACAAGCCCGAUGUCUGAUCUCAGAAGCUAAGCAGGGUUGGGCCUGGUUAGUACUUGGAUGGGAGACCACCUAGGAAGACCAGGUGCUAUAGGCA